AAACGUUUUUGACUUUCUCAGAACAUAAAAGAAGCCACCUUUAGACAAACUUAUUGAAAGCAUGCGUAAAGAAAUAUCGAUUGCAUUAAUUACUUAGAGGGAUUAAAAGGGAUUUGUUACUGAACAAAAUAAAAAUAAUAUAAAAUUUAAGUGAAAGCAAUGUCAGGUAUAAAAAAUGCGGAAAGAUAAAUUGGUAAUAUUAGGAUCAUUUGAAUCCUUCAUUGUCGGCCGCUCUUCUCUACCAUCUUAAGUUUAAUCUUACCGUGAAGCGAGCGAAGCGGCAUUCUUUCCCAUGAAUGAUUUUGCUCCUAGCUACUAUAUCCGAGACAGAAUUGUUACUAUCUCGUGAACGUCUCAAAUUGAAAUGUCGCUUAAGCACAUUUACAGCAGAGGUAAAGUCAUGUCUACUCAACACGCGUAUUUUAUUUGUAGAUUUUUGGUCAAGUUUUUCUAUCUUUGCUUUACUUCGAAAAACAGACAAAAAAUGAAAUGGCAAAAAAUUGCAAUACUUUUGAUAUAUUUCCUUCGUUUCAACUAUUAUGAAAUUUUGUUGU